UACGUAGGGGGCGAGCGUUGUCCGGAAUUACUGGGCGUAAAGCGCGCGCAGGCGGCCUGCUCAGUCGGUCGUGAAAGGCCCCGGCUCAACUGGGGAGGGUCGACCGGGACGGGCAGGCUCGAGGGUGUCAGAGGGGGGUGGAAGGCCGGGUGGAGCGGUGAAAUGCGUAGAGAUCCGGCGGAACACCAGCGGCGCAGGCGGCCCCCUGGGGCACAACUGACGCUGAGGCGCGAAGGCCAGGGGAGCGAACGGG
rnacentral:rRNA from 1 species